UUAGGGAACUAGGGGAGGAGGGGGACGUCCAGCCAGCCUCACUUGAGCCCCCCAGCAGAUUUGCAUUCCUUGCACGACUUUCUCCCCUGUACCCCUGAGCCCUGGAGGCUGCGGGGAAGGCCAGGCUCGGGGGCUUCCCAGCCCCGCACCCCACAUGCCCGCGUGCAGGCCGGGAGCUGCUGGACGCUGGUGGCCGCCUGUUUUUUUCCGAAGGGAAAGAAAGGGGGGGCUUUUCUUUUUGUAUUGUUAACAGAUCUGAAACCCACAAGUGGAAGCUCCGUUUGCCUCCUACACCGCCUUUCUUUUUGCUCCCUUCCUCUGCCUCUGCACCCACUGUCCUGGAUUAACUCCUAGGCUGCCCUUAGGAACUUUGAAACGUUCCAAAUGUCAUCGUGAAGCAGGUCUGGUCCAGCCGCUACUGGAUGAAACCAAACGUGUCAGAGCUAUGCACCUAUCCAAGAUGAGAACACCUACUGAAGACCUUUCAGAUAGACCCUCUGGAGAGUGUCUCUGAUGGCCAAUCACAGCUACUGUCGCUUCAGCCUGAAUAGCCAAAACGAUCAUCACCCUUUACCCCGUCAUAGCAGUUCGGGAUACUUCCUCAGAUGAGGGAAUAUUAUAGGUGGUUAAAUUAGUUUUAUUUGCAAGCCUCCAGACACUGGACAUAAGAGCACAGAGGAAAAGAACUUUCCUCAUGGAAAAUAGUACCAGUAACAACAAAUGCUACAAACACUGUAAUUUUGUUCUGCAAAACCAUUUUCCUUAAGGAAUAGAAAAUGACUUUGUGUAACAAUAUAACCUCUUUUCUUUAUUUGAAAAUUAUCCACUUUGGAAAAAAAAAAAC